GAUGAACGCUGGCGGCGUGCCUAAUACAUGCAAGUCGAGCGAACAGAUAAGGAGCUUGCUCCUUUGACGUUAGCGGCGGACGGGUGAGUAACACGUGGAUAACCUACCUAUGAGACUGGGAUAACUUCGGGAAACCGGAGCUAAUACCGGAUAACAUAUUGAACCGCAUGGUUCAAUAGUGAAAGGCGGCUUUGCUGUCACUUAUAGAUGGAUCCGCGCCGUAUUAGCUAGUUGGUAAGGUAACGGCUUACCAAGGCAACGAUACGUAGCCGACCUGAGAGGGUGAUCGGCCACACUGGAACUGAGACACGGUCCAGACUCCUACGGGAGGCAGCAGUAGGGAAUCUUCCGCAAUGGGCGAAAGCCUGACGGAGCAACGCCGCGUGAGUGAUGAAGGUCUUCGGAUCGUAAAACUCUGUUAUCAGGGAAGAACAAAUGUGUAAGUAACUGUGCACAUCUUGACGGUACCUGAUCAGAAAGCCACGGCUAACUACGUG
rnacentral:rRNA from 1 species